rnacentral:rRNA from 1 species
GGACUACUGGGGUAUCUAAUCCUGUUUGAUCCCCAUGCUUUCGCAUCUCAGUGUCAGUACUGGACCAGUGAGCCGCCUUCGCCACUGAUGUUCCACCUGAUAUCUACGUAUUUCACCACUACACCAGGUAUUCCACUCACCUCUUCCGUACUCAAGCUAAGCAGUUUCGAGUGCACUUCCCGGGUUAAGCCCGGGGCUUUCACACCCGACUUACAAAGCCACCUACAUGCGCUUUACGCCCAAUGAUUCCGAACAACGCUAGGGACCUUCGUAUUACCGCGGCGGCUGGCAC